UACAGAGGGUGCAAGCGUUGUUCGGAAUUACUGGGCGUAAAGGGCUCGUAGGUGGCCAACUAAGUCAGACGUGAAAUCCCUCAGCUUAACUGGGGAACUGCGUCUGAUACUGGAUGGCUUGAGUUCGGGAGAGGGAUGCGGAAUUCCAGGUGUAGCGGUGAAAUGCGUAGAUAUCUGGAGGAACACCGGUGGCGAAGGCGGCAUCCUGGACCGACACUGACACUGAGGAGCGAAAGCCAGGGGAGCAAACGGG
rnacentral:rRNA from 1 species